UUUUCAGCGAGAAGCCCUCUUUUAAUGACUCAAUGUCUAGCACCAUUCAGAAAGGGUAACUCGAGACACAGUACCAGCAAUAACGCCCAAGUAAGGAAGACUCAGAAAUUAAAAGAGACCCACUGAACACUAAUGAAAGAUGGGGAUAGUCACAGUGACGCCAGUUAUCGGAUCCCUGCUGUCACACUGCUGCCUUCAGGAUAGUCUUUUCGGAUGAUCUCUAGGCUCUUUCUCUUUGUACCCUUUCCUUUAUCACGCU
rnacentral:lncRNA from 1 species